rnacentral:rRNA from 1 species
GAUGAACGCUGGCGGCGUGCCUAACACAUGCGAGUCGAGCGAACAGAUAAGGAGCUUGCUCCUUUGAAGUUAGCGGCGGACGGGUGAGUAAAACGUGGGUAACAUACCUCUAAGACUGGGAUACAUUCGGGAAACCGGACCUAAUACCGGACAAUAUUUCGAACCGCAUGGUUCGAUAGUGAUAGAAGGUUUUGCUUUCACUUAUAGAUGGACCCGCGCCGUAUUAGCUAGUUGGUAAGGUAGCGGCUUAGCAAGGCGACGAUACGUAGCCGACCCGAGAGGGUGAUCCGCCACUGGGAAACUGAGACACGGUCCAGACUCCUACGGGAGACAGGAGUAGGAAAUCUUCCGCAGUGGGCGAAAGCGUGACGGAGCAACGCCGCGAGAGAUAUGAGGGUCUGCGGAGCGUAAAACUCUGUUAUUAGAGGAGAGCAUACGUGUAAGUAACUGUGCACGACUGAACGGUACCGAAUCAGAAGGCCAGGGCAAACUAGUU